AGCAGCCGCGGUAAUUCCAGCUCCAAUAGCGUAUAUUAAAGUUGUUGCAGUUAAAAAGCUCGUAGUUGAAUUUCGGGGUCAGUAGAUUGGUCGUGCCACUGGUAUGUACUGGUCUUACUGGCUCCUCCUUCCUGAUGAACCGUAAUGUCAUUAAUUUGGUGUUGCGGGGAAUCAGGACUGUUACUUUGAAAAAAUUAGAGUGUUUAAAGCAGGCAAGCGCUUGAAUACAUUAGCAUGGAAUAAUGAAAUAGGACGUUCGAUCCUAUUUUGUUGGUUUCUAGGAUUGACGUAAUGAUUAAUAGGGAUAGUUGGGGGCAUUAGUAUUCAAUUGUCAGAGGUGAAAUUCUUGGAUUUAUUGAAGACUAACUACUGCGAAAGCAUUUGCCAAGGAUGUUUUCAUUAAUCAAGAACGAAAGUUAGGGGAUCGAAGACGAUCAGAUACCGUCGUAGUCUUAACCAUAAACUAUGCCGACUAGGGAUCGGAUGAUGUUAACUUUUAAAUGACUCAUUCGGCACCUUA
rnacentral:rRNA from 1 species